rnacentral:rRNA from 1 species
GAUGAACGCUGGCGGCGUGCCUAAUACAUGCAAGUCGAGCGAACAGACGAGGAGCUUGCUCCUCUGACGUUAGCGGCGGACGGGUGAGUAACACGUGGAUAACCUACCUAUAAGACUGGGAUAACUUCGUGAAACCGGAGCUAAUACCGGAUAAUAUAUUUAACCGCAUGGUUCAAUAGUUAAAGACGGUUUUGCUGUCACUUAUAGCUGGAUCCGCGCAGCAUUAGCUAGUUGGUAAGGUAACGGCUUACCAAGGCGACGAUGCGUAGCCGACCUGAGAGGAUGAUCGGCCACACUGGAACUGAGACACGGUCCAGACUCCUAAGGGAGGCAGCAGUAGGGAAUAUUCCGCAAUGGGCGAAAGCCUGACGGAGCAACGCCGCGUGAGUGAUGAAGGUCUUCGGAUCGUAAAACUCUGUUAUUAGGGAAGAACAAAUGUGUAAGUAACUAUGCACGUCUUGACGGUACCUAAUCAGAAAGCAACGGCUAACUACGUG